UACGUAGGGGGCAGGCGUUGUCCGGAAUCAUUGGGCGUAAAGAGCGUGUAGGCGGCCCGAUAAGUCCGCUGUGAAAGUCCAGGGCUCAACCCUGGAAUGCCGGUGGAUACUGUCGGGCUCGAAUCCGGAAGAGGUGAGUGGAAUUCCUGGUGUAGCGGUGAAAUGCGUAGAUAUCUGGAGGAACACCGGUGGCGAAGGCGGCAUCCUGGACCGAGAUCGACGCUGAGGCGCGAAAGCUAGGGGAGCAAACGGG
rnacentral:rRNA from 1 species